rnacentral:rRNA from 1 species
CCUACGGGAGGCAGCAGUGAGGAAUAUUGGUCAAUGGGAGGAAUCCUGAACCAGCCAUGCCGCGUGCAGGACGACGGCUCUACGAGUUGUAAACUGCUUUUGUACCGGGGUAAAAUGCUCUACGAGUAGGGUUUUGUAUGUACGGUACGAAUAAGGAUCGGCUAACUCCGUGCCAGCAGCCGCGGUAAUACGGAGGAUCCGAGCGUUAUCCGGAUUUAUUGGGUUUAAGGGGUGCGUAGGUUGUUUUUUAAGUUAGUGGUGAAAUAUUGAUGCUCAACAGCGAAACUGCAGUUGAAACUGGAAGACUUGAGAACAGUAGAGGCAGGCGGAAUGUGUGGUGUAGCGGUGAAAUGCAUAGAUAUCACGAAGAACACCGAUUGCGAAGGCAGCUUACUAGGCCGGAACUGACACUGAGGCACGAAAGCGUGGGGAUCGAACAGGAUUAGAUACCCUGGUAGUC